rnacentral:ncRNA from 2 species
UGGAGAGGUCACGGGAGCCCGGUGAGACCGGGCUGAGAGGGGGGCUGCGAGCCCCCGACCGUCCGAACCUGAUCCGGGUCAUACCGGCGAAGGGAGUUCUGCUCAUCAUGUC